GUAAGUGUGUCUGGGGGAUCGAUCGAACAAGGCAGGAGGAGGGGGAAACCCUAAACUCAAGAAAUCAAGCAAUUGAAGCCUAAAAUCAUAAGAAACUCCAGUGCAUGAGCCCUCUUAUCGAUCAUCUAAGCAUACCUAGUGAAGUGCUUGAAAGAAUAAGAACCAUGUCAAGAUGGACCAACUCAUGGGAAGCAAACGGGUCAAAGAGGAGGCAAAGAAACUAGCAUAAUCAUGGCGAGCACAAGGUUUAUGAAUGUCGGACUUUCAAAGUGUUGAUAUAGUAAUGAAAUGAUUGAGUGUUGGAAGAUAAUCGGGUUGAAGUAACUUAAGCGGUAAACCCUCAAUUCAGGCGACUUGGAGAAUCGGAGCGAGCGCGUGUUCAUGUUAUGUCGUACCAAACGCUUCCGCUAGCUUGUUCGAAUGUUUUAGUCCAAAAUUUGUUGUAUUGGUUCUUAGUAGUAUUUUGUCGAAUGAAUCGUAGAAUUGUAACUAGUUUGAUUAUGUUUAAAACAGGGGUAUGCUCGUUUUAUGGACAGGUCAUGCCCAAUUUUUGUUAAAUUAUAGUAUGAUAAU
rnacentral:lncRNA from 1 species